rnacentral:rRNA from 1 species
UUCUUACUGACAUUAUUGUAAGUAUCGCCUGCUCAAUGAAUUUUAAAUAGCCGCGGAAAUUUAACCGUGCUAAGGUAGCAUAAUCAUUAGUCCUUUAAUUAGGGACUUGUAUGAAUGGUGGGACAUUUCAGCUACUUUAUUAAUUAUAAAAUUUUUAAUUUAAAUUAAGAAUUAAAAUGUUCUUAUUGCUAAAAAAGACGACAAGACCCUAUUGAACUUUACCUUUUUGUUAAGCUGGGGCAGCUAUAAAAUAAUUAUCUUUUAUUUUUUACUUAAAUAAAUGAUCCAAUAAAAUUGAUCACAUGAACAAGUUACCAUAGGGAUAACAGCGUAAUAUCUUUCUAGAGCUCCUAUUGAAAAAGAUGAUUGCGACCUCGAUGUUGAAUUAAUGUUACUUUAUUAAAUGCAAUAAUUAUAAAAGUAGGUCUGUUCGACCUUUAAAACAUUACAU